ensembl:lncRNA
CACGCUGUGCCACUAACUGUCCUAGGAGAUCAAGACCCUGCAUCUCAACAGAAUAAAGAUUCUGCCAUUAAACAGCUGACAGAUUUCAAAGAGCAGAACUUUAUUCCAGGCAGUGAUGUGAUUUUACAGUGUGGCAAUGCCACUGUUAUCAGUUGGAAUGAAUUAAUUUAUAUUGUCUGGAACAUCAGCCUGCAAGGCAGAAAAUGUUGGCUGGGUUUGUCACCCAAGCUGGACGACACAUGUAAAGAUGGAAAGAGGCUGUUAAACACCUCAGAUGGAAUUUCUUUAGUCAUUCCCAAGAUUUCAACAAGAGAUGAAGGAUUUUAUUCGUGUGAUGUAUCAUAUAAAGCAGGAAGCUAUGCUGUAAAUGUGUCUGUAAGCGUUACCCAACUUUUCACCAAGCAGAGUGAAAACAAUCAGAGGAUUGCUGUCUGUCAGGCCACAUACACACAAAAAACAGCACCCACUCUUCACUGGGAACCUGCCUUGAACUUUUCCUCCAGUAACAGUUCUGUAAAGAAGGAUGGCAGGUUUUUUACGAUGGAGAAUCAAGUAUAUCUGCCGGACAAUGUCAACAUCAGUGAGCUCAUCUGUGUGGCCACAUACACCUCCGAGUCCGGCUCUGUUCAGCACAAGAGCACACUUCAUCUUAAACAAAGUGAGUACACUGUAUAUGAAAAGAAAUUGAGAAUUGAUUUCAAUAGUGGAUCAGUAGUAAAUUACAGUAUGUUCCUCUCAAUCAAGUUGGAUGAGGACCAUUGGUCAAAAGACAUCAGCUUUCUCAAGAGAUGUUUGACUAGGUUCAAGUUCAGGGUCUGAAUACUUAUAUAUUAUAUACUAAAUUUGCAAAUAUGGUUUUUGAUUUGCAGUUAUGGGGUGUGGAGUGUAGAUUGAUGUGGGGGAAAAACAUUAUAAUUUCAAGAAUUAAUAUAAGGCUGCAACAUAAAAUGUGAAAAGUAUUCAAGGGUCUGAACUUUCCUAAAUGCAUGGUAGCACUAUCUAGGGUUACUAACUUAAAGCUUAUACAGUCUUUAGUUUAGCCACCAAUGAUGCUGGAAAAGGCACCAGCAGUGGGAGGAAACCACUGUAUGGAGGGAGUGCAUGACAGGAGAAGGAAUGUCCUUCUUAUGGAGCAGUGGCACUGGGCAGCUUUAAAGGGGUCAUAUGAUGUGCUUUCAAUUUUUCCUUUCUCUUUGGAGUGUUACAAGCUCUAGGUGCAUGAAGAAGAUCUGUAAAGUUGCAAAGACUCUGCCACGCCCCCUUAAAUGGCUCGUUUAAACACGCCUCCACAUCUCUACCUCACUAUUCGGAAAUAUUUGCGUAAUGCUGCCCAAAUGUUCAGGCAAAGAAAGAAGGCGUGGUUUCAGAACCGCAGUUAGUGUUGAAGCAGCCAUGUCAGGGAGAUGCUGUGUGUAUCUAUAGGCGAAAGCAAAAGUAGUUUAUUUGGCCUUCCUAAAGUAGAUGCAUUUAGGAAGCUUUAGAAAGCUUUUAGCUUUAAGAUUACUUACAGCAGAACAGCAACGCAUUUUAUAGAUGACCAUUUUGUGAACCUAGGAGAGGAGGAAAUUCUGACUUUGCUACUACAAUCUGGUGCUUCUGAAUCAGCUACUGUAAGUAUGUUAUGUUAUUAGUUUAAGUAUUUGCUGUUGACUGUUCAAAUGCGGAGUUUUGCGUGUCGUGCGUGUGUGUGUGUGUCUGUGAGAGAGAGGGGGGGUCACACAGUGGAGUCAGCUGUCUUAACCGUCCGUGGCUUGUGUACUGUAAACACAUAGGAGCUUCAUCACUGUCUGUCACGCGACUCUGUUCCCCUUUCAGGCUUGAACUGAUGGUAAAACUCUUUACAUGAGGGUCUUUACAUUUAUUUUGAAAGAUGAAGCUCGCGAUUAUGGAAAGGGGAGUUACAUCUCCACGGUGGUUGGCCAAUCACAAUGCACUGGGUCAGUUGGCCAAUCAGAGAAGACUGCUCUCGUCAGAAGGAGGGACUUUGUAGAAAAUUACGCGUUUGAGAGAGACGGGGCAUAGAGGACCUACAUCAAUGUACAGUAUUUGAAAAAUAAUGUGUUUUUUGAACAUUAAAGCAUAUCAACAUGUUCUGUUACACCAAAUACACAAAAUAACGAUCUUUAAAAAAGCAUCAUAUCACCCCUUUAAAGGGAUACUCCAUCCCAAAAUAAAAUUUUUGUCAUUAAUCA